rnacentral:tRNA from 1 species
CAGAGGUAGUUUAUUAAAAUUAAGACUUUGGGAGUCUUUGAUGUCAGAUACUGACUCUCUGA